rnacentral:rRNA from 1 species
GCUCCUACGGGGCGCAGCAGUGGGGAAUAUUGCACAAUGGGGGAAACCCUGAUGCAGCAACGCCGCGUGAGUGAAGAAGUAUUUCGGUAUGUAAAGCUCUAUCAGCAGGGAAGAAAAUGACGGUACCUGAGUAAGAAGCCACGGCUAACUACGUGCCAGCAGCCGCGGUAAUACGUAGGGGGCAAGCGUUAUCCGGAUUUACUGGGUGUAAAGGGAGCGUAGACGGGGAUACAAGUCUG